rnacentral:tRNA from 1 species
AUUUAAAUAGCUUAAAAAAAGUAUAAUAUUGAAAAUAUUAAGAUAAUAAAAAAAUUUUUAAAUA